CGCCCGUCACACCAUGGGAGCUGGUAAUACCCAAAGUCGGUUUGCUAACCUCGGAGGCGACUGCCUAAGGUAGGACUGGUGACUGGGGUGAAGUCGUAACAAGGUAUCCCUACGAGAACGUGGGGAUGGAUCACCUCCUUUCUACGGAGUACAUUAGAAGUUUAUAUAACUUCUUGACUUAAUUUAUAGUUAUGGAAUAAUAUUUGUAUCCAGUUUUGAGAGUUCUAUCUCUCAAUUUUGUUCUUUGAAAACUGAAUAUAGACAUUGAAAAAUUAAAAUUAAUAUUUCAAAGUUUAGAUCAACCUAUAGAAUAUUUAUAAAAAGACAAACAAUAGGUCAUACUAACAAUAACUGACAAAUACUAUUAAACAAGAUAAGAGUUUUUGGUGGAUGCCUUGGGUCUAGUAGUCGAAGAAGGACGUGAUUACCUGCGAUAAGCCUCGUUUAGCUGGAAAUAAGCAACGAUACGGGGAUUUCCGAAUGGGGAAACCUAAUUGAGCUAAUCCUCAAUUAUCAUUUUGAUGAAUCCAUAGUCAAAUGAAGAGACACGCUGUGAAUUGAAACAUCUCAGUAGCAGCAGGAAGAGAAAAUAAAGAAUGAUUCCCUUAGUAGUGGCGAGCGAACGGGGAAAAGCCCAAACUAGCACUUGUUGCUAGGGUUGUAGGACUGCUUAUAUAAAGUUACAAAAAUUACACAUAGCAGAAUAAGUUGGAAUGCUUAAACAUAGAGGGUGAAAUUCCCGUAAGUGAAAUGUGUAAUUCUUUUAGCAGUAUCCUGAGUAGGGCGGGGCACGUGAAACCCUGUCUGAAUCCGCCGGGACCACCCGGUAAGGCUAAAUACUAACUAGACACCGAUAGCGAACUA
rnacentral:sRNA from 2 species